rnacentral:rRNA from 1 species
CCUACGGGUGGCAGCAGUGAGGAAUAUUGGUCAAUGGACGAGAGUCUGAACCAGCCAAGUAGCGUGAAGGAUGACUGCCCUAUGGGUUGUAAACUUCUUUUAUAUGGGAAUAAAACGUUCCACGUGUGGGAUUUUGUAUGUACCAUAUGAAUAAGGAUCGGCUAACUCCGUGCCAGCAGCCGCGGUAAUACGGAGGAUCCGAGCGUUAUCCGGAUUUAUUGGGUUUAAAGGGUGCGUAGGUGGAUUGUUAAGUCAGUUGUGAAAGUUUGCGGCUCAACCGUAAAAUUGCAGUUGAAACUGGCAGUCUUGAGUACAGUAGAGGUGUGCGGAAUUCGUGGUGUAGCGGUGAAAUGCUUAGAUAUCACGAAGAACUCCGAUUGCGAAGGCAGUUCACUGGACUGCAACUGACACUGAGGCUCGAAAGUGUGGGUAUCAAACAGGAUUAGAUACCCGAGUAGUC